UGAGGAAUAUUGGUCAAUGGGCUUACGCCUGAACCAGCCAAGUCGCGUGAGGGAAGACUGCCCUAUGGGUUGUAAACCUCUUUGUCAGGGAGCAAUUGGCGCUACGUGUAGCGUUAUCGAGAGUACCUGAAGAAAAAGCAUCGGCUAACUCCGUGCC
rnacentral:rRNA from 1 species